CCUACGGGGGGCAGCAGUGAGGAAUAUUGGUCAAUGGACGAGAGUCUGAACCAGCCAAGUAGCGUGAAGGAUGACUGCCCUAUGGGUUGUAAACUUCUUUUAUAAAGGAAUAAAACGAGGCACGUGUGCCUUUUUGCAUGUACUUUAUGAAUAAGGAUCGGCUAACUCCGUGCCAGCAGCCGCGGUAAUACGGAGGAUCCGAGCGUUAUCCGGAUUUAUUGGGGUUAAAGGGAGCGUAGAUGGGUUGUUAAGUCAGUUGUGAAAGUUUGCGGCUCAACCGUAAAAUUGCAAUUGAUACUGGCAGUCGUGAGUACAGUUGAGGUAGGCGGAAUUCGUGGUGUAGCGGUGAAAUGCUUAGAUAUCACGAAGAACUCCGAUUGCGAAGGCAGCUUACUAAACUGCCACUGACAUUGAUGCUCGAAAGUGUGGGUAUCAAACAGGAUUAGAUACCCCGGUAGUC
rnacentral:rRNA from 1 species